UACGGAGGAUCCAAGCGUUGUCCGGAUUUAUUGGGUUUAAAGGGUGCGUAGGCGGCUUAGUAAGUCAGUGUUUAAAGUCAACAGCUUAACUGUUGGAAUGGCAAAGAUACUGCUGAGCUUGAGUAAAGUUGAGGUGGGUGGAAUUGAUGGUGUAGCGGUGAAAUGCAUAGAUAUCAUCAAGAACACCGAUAGCGAAGGCAACUCACUAAACUUUAACUGACGCUGAGGCACGAAAGCGUGGGGAUCAAACAGG
rnacentral:rRNA from 1 species